CUCUCCUGCUGACCCGCCUUGCAAAGAGUCCAAGAAGCUGAGAGGUGCCAAGCACCAGGUGUUUUCUUUUCACUCUGGUUUUGCCCAGCCUGGCAUGGCAGGCAGCAGAGUUAUUUUGCUUUUAUAAGCCAUAUUAUAUAACUAAGAUUUUGAACAGCGAUGCUGAGCCAACUUAGAGGUCAUAAUCAAAGAAAUGGAGAGAGAUUUAGGAAAGAGAGCAAGGAAGGAGAAGGAGAAGGGAGAGAAAAAAAAAUAGAGGGGAUAGUGGAGACAGAGGGAGACCAUUUCAUUUGUACUACCUGCUCAUAUGUUCUUGGUCUCCCGUGACAGGAUAUGCAACCUGGAAAGUUCUUUAGCCCUCCUUUUAACUGGCAAGGGGCAGCCUUGAGUUCACAGUCUGUGGAGGAGCUCGCUGAGUGCCAGCUGCCUGCAGGCAUCACCCCAGCGCCCAUUGGAGUCCCUGUUGGAGACUGCAGCAGCCUGGUGUGGUGCAGUACUCAGUGUUCCUUGUGGAAAACAAACAAACAAGACAUUGUCUCCACUCACCCAGCCUCCGUGCUGACUACAUGAGCUGAGAUGCCUGCCAGCCUGGCUGUAAUUCCAGAGGAGAUAGAAAUAGCAGAGCUCAUGGCUCCAACUUCCGUCCUCUCUUUGGCCUGAAGUCUUUCUGCACAGAUGCCGGAGUUUUAAUUCCUUUCAUUGCCUUGGCUACCUCAAGCCCCCUCCUGGGGUGAUGGAACUUCGUCAGAGCAUCAGGAUUGGGCUGGCAUGCUUUCCAGAGGCUGUGGUCUAGAGAAACACAUGAGAACAUUUCAUUAUCUCCUUAGGAGGUACAGUCAGAAUGUCAUUGUCCCUCCUGUUUCCUUCAAGCCAAGUGACCCCACCAAAGGAAGUCAUGUGAUUUAACCCCUCACCACCAUCUCCAUCAACUCUACUUGCCCCCAACCCCAUCAUAUAAUCUAAAGAAAAGCACUGUGCUUGCUAACUCCAGAGAGUAAACCCGCUCCACACACACUGCUACAGCCUAGAAAACUCCUGGAGUUAAGCUGAACUUGCUCAAGGAUGAACACCUGAAAUAGUUUCCACAAAUGCUGCUAAUGUGCUGGGCCAUGGAGCCCAGAUACUUGAUCAAACAUUAUUCUGGAUGUUCCUGUGAAGAUGUUUUUGGAGGAGAUUAACAUUUACAUUGGUGGACUUGGAGUAAAGCAAUUUACCCUUAAUAAUGGAGGCUGGCUUCAUCCAGUCUGUUGAAGGCCUUAAUGAAACAGAUUGACUUCCCGUGAGCAAGGCUCAAAUUGCAGUUCUUCCUGAAUCUCCAGCUGCUGGCCUACCCCAUCAGAUUCUGGGCUCACCCAGCUUCCACAAUCACGUGCCUUCCUCAACAUUUUCGAAGCCCACACAAAUGCUCACACCAGCUUGUGGACUCCAUCUACCCGGUCCAGAAGCAAAAGCAACACGAUGUGUGAGCCGUUUGUUUUUCUUGAAGUCUGCCUGCGAAGGUUGGAGCGGCUGGACGGGACACAGAAGCCUGAGGGACA